rnacentral:rRNA from 1 species
GUGAGACAGUUUGGUCCCUAUCUGCCGUGGGCGUUGGAUAUUUGAAGGGGGCUGCUCCUAGUACGAGAGGACCGGAGUGGACGAACCUCUGGUGUACCGGUUGUCACGCCAGUGGCAUCGCCGGGUAGCUAUGUUCGGAAGAGAUAACCGCUGAAAGCAUCUAAGCGGGAAACUCGCCUUAAGAUGAGAUAUCCCUGGAGGCUUGACCUCCUUGAAGGGUCGUUCGAGACCAGGACGUUGAUAGGUCAGGUGUGUAAGCGCAGUAAUGCGUUCAGCUAACUGAUACUAAUUGCCCGUAAGGCUUGAUCCUAUAACCAGUCUGCG